rnacentral:rRNA from 1 species
UACAGAGGUCCCAAGCGUUGUUCGGAUUUAUUGGGCGUAAAGGGUGCGUAGGCGGCGGAGUAAGUUGGGUGUGAAAUCCCGGGGCUCAACCUCGGAAUUGCAUUCAAUACUGCUUCGCUCGAGUACUGGAGAGGAGGCUGGAAUUUACGGUGUAGCAGUGAAAUGCGUAGAUAUCGUAAGGAAGACCAGUGGCGAAGGCGGGUCUCUGGACAGUUCCUGACACUGAGGCACGAAGGCCAGGGGAGCAAACGGG